GACAGAGGGGGCAAGCGUUGCUCGGAAUCACUGGGCGUAAAGAGCGUGUAGGCGGCUAGAUAGGUCCGUUGUGAAAACUCGAGCUCAACCUCGAGACGCCGGUGGAAACCAUCUAGCUAGAGUCCGGGAAGAGGAGAGUGGAAUUCCUGGUGUAGCGGUGAAAUGCGCAGAUAUCAGGAAGAACACCCGUGGCGAAGGCGGCUCUCUGGUACGUGACUGACGCUGAGGAGCGAAAGCAUGGGGAGCGAACAGG
rnacentral:rRNA from 1 species